rnacentral:rRNA from 1 species
AAACCAGCACCUCAAGUGGUCAGGAUGAUUAUGGGGCCUAAAGCAUCCGUAGCCUGCUCUGUAAGUUUUCGGUUAAAUCUAUGUGCUCAACAUAUAGGCUGCCGGAAAUACUGCAGAACUAGGAAGUGGGAGAGGUAGACGGUACUCCGUAGGAAGGGGUAAAAUCCUUUGAUCUAUGGAUGACCACCUGUGGCGAAGGCGGUCUACCAGAACACGUUCGACGGUGAGGGAUGAAAGCUGGGGGAGCAAACCGGAUUAGAAACCCGAGUAGUCC